rnacentral:rRNA from 1 species
GACGAGAGUCGACUUGGAGGUUGUGCCCUUGAGGCGUGGCUUCCGGAGCUAACGCGUUAAGUCGACCGCCUGGGGAGUACGGCCGCAAGGUUAAAACUCAAAUGAAUUGACGGGGGCCCGCACAAGCGGUGGAGCAUGUGGUUUAAUUCGAUGCAACGCGAAGAACCUUACCUGGUCUUGACAUCCACGGAAGUUUUCAGAGAUGAGAAUGUGCCUUCGGGAACCGUGAGACAGGUGCUGCAUGGCUGUCGUCAGCUCGUGUUGUGAAAUGUUGGGUUAAGUCCCGCAACGAGCGCAACCCUUAUCCUUUGUUGCCAGCGGUCCGGCCGGGAACUCAAAGGAGACUGCCAGUGAUAAACUGGAGGAAGGUGGGGAUGACGUCAAGUCAUCAUGGCCCUUACGACCAGGGCUACACACGUGCUACAAUGGCGCAUACAAAGAGAAGCGACCUCGCGAGAGCAAGCGGACCUCAUAAAGUGCGUCGUAGUCCGGAUUGGAGUCUGCAACUCGACUCCAUGAAGUCGGAAUCGCUAGUAAUCGUGGAUCAGAAUGCCACGGUGAAUACGUUCCCGGGCCUUGUACACACCGCCCGUCACACCAUGGGAGUGGGUUGCAAAAGAAGUAGGUAGCUUAACCUUCGGGAGGGCGCUUACCACUUUGUGAUUCAUGACUGGGGUGAAGUCGUACGGCAUCCUAAAAAAAUUUUCCAACCUGGGGUUUUCAUAUUGAAAAAUUGGUUUUACUAAAGGGGGACAUCUCCCGCUGGGGCAGUUCCCUCAAAACUAUCGACUUUCCGCGGCUACACGGGGAGAUCUGCCCGCUUCGAAGCAAACUCAUUAUGUCAGUCUGCAGCGAGUCGCAGGUGAGCCGGCGUAUUACACUUUGGACUGACACGCACUGCGUGGCAUUAGGCUAUAAUCCAGAUACGGUAGCCCCUCCGAAUACCGCGUGCUGACGGAUUAGCGGAUCUCUUCUGGAACCGUAAGACAGGUAUGCUGCCUCUCCGCGUGAGUGUAACCGAGAGCUUCAACUGUGGUCACGGUCGCAUGU